UCUUCGGAUGGAAAUAUAUAUUUCUUAGCGGCGGACGGGUGAGUAACGCGUGAGGAACCUGCCUUGUACUAGGGGAUAGCCUCGGGAAACCGGGAUUAAUACCCUAUGAUACUUGAGGAUCGCAUGAUUUUCAAGUCAAAGCGAUUAAGCGGUAUAAGAUGGACUCGCGUCCCAUUAGCUAGUUGGUGAGGUAAUAGCUCACCAAGGCGACGAUGGGUAGCCGGCCUGAGAGGGUGAACGGCCACACUGGAACUGAGACACGGUCCAGACUCCUACGGGAGGCAGCAGUGGGGAAUAUUGCACAAUGGAGGGAACUCUGAUGCAGCGACGCCGCGUGAGCGAUGAAGGUUUUCGGAUCGUAAAGCUCUGUCCUAAGGGACGAUAAUGACGGUACCUUAGGAGGAAGCCCCGGCUAACUACGUGCCAGCAGCCGCGGUAAUACGUAGGGGGCGAGCGUUGUCCGGAUUUAUUGGGCGUAAAGGGUGCGUAGGCGGCCUUGUAAGUCAGAUGUGAAAUCUCACGGCUUAACCGUGGUAAGCAUUUGAAACUGUGAGGCUUGAGUACAGGAGAGGAGAGUGGAAUUCCUAGUGUAGCGGUGAAAUGCGUAGAUAUUAGGAGGAAUACCAGUGGCGAAGGCGACUCUCUGGACUGUAACUGACGCUGAGGCACGAAAGCGUG
rnacentral:rRNA from 1 species